AUGGCCGCCGCCGGGCACCGGACGCCGCUGCUCUUCCUCCUCCUGCUCGCCGCCGUCGCGCUGCUCGCGGCGGUGGCCACGGCGGACGACGCCAAGCCGACCAUCCUGACCCCGGUGGCCAAGACCCCCGUGGGGUCCUUCGAGGGCGACAAGCCGGGGGACGACGCCAUGGACGACGAGGACGCCGCGCCCGUCGGUUCCCCCAUCGGCACCACCAUGACCGAGCCCAAGCCCGAGGGGUCCACGCCCGGCGCCGCCGGGGGCGACGCGCCGGCGCCCAGCGCCGCCUCCUCCCUCGCGGCCCGCCUCGGCGGCGCCGUCGCCGUGGCCGCAGCGGCCGCCGGCGUCCUCGCCUUCUAA
rnacentral:rRNA from 1 species